UGUUGACCUCGAAUCAGGUAGGAAUACCCGCUGAACUUAAGCAUAUCAAUAAGCGGAGGAAAAGAAACCAACAGGGAUUGCCCCAGUAACGGCGAGUGAAGCGGCAACAGCUCAAAUUUGAAAUCUGGCUCUCGGGCCCGAGUUGUAAUUUGUAGAGGAUGCUUUUGGUGAGGUGCCUUCCGAGUUCCCUGGAACGGGACGCCAUAGAGGGUGAGAGCCCCGUCUGGUUGGACACCGAUCCUCUGUAAAGCUCCUUCGACGAGUCGAGUAGUUUGGGAAUGCUGCUCUAAAUGGGAGGUAUAUGUCUUCUAAAGCUAAAUACCGGCCAGAGACCGAUAGCGCACAAGUAGAGUGAUCGAAAGAUGAAAAGAACUUUGAAAAGAGAGUUAAAAAGUACGUGAAAUUGUUGAAAGGGAAGCGCUUGUGACCAGACUUGGGCUUGGUUGAUCAUCCGGGGUUCUCCCCGGUGCACUCUUCCGGCUCAGGCCAGCAUCAGUUCGCCCUGGGGGAUAAAGGCUUCGGGAAUGUGGCUCUCUCCGGGGAGUGUUAUAGCCCGCUGCGUAAUACCCUGUGGCGGACU
rnacentral:rRNA from 1 species